rnacentral:lncRNA from 1 species
GCGGAACGGCCGAGGCUCUGAGAGUGGGGGAUGCAACACGAACUCCGUCCCCUGCAGAGUCGGUGCCUUCGGGGGCUCCACCGCCGCACGCUCCGACUUGCAAGGUCUGCAAGACAGAACGGGAAAGAACUCCUCCCAUCACUCAUGGGAGAAAAUGAAGCUCUGUACUGGCCUCUAUCAGAGAAGCUCAAAAUUUCCCUCUUUCCUGCAAGUGUCCCAAACCCCAUGACUCUGAUUUCCAGGGAUCCUGUUUGGAAGGUCGGGGACAAUGACAACUGAGAAGAAAAGGGAGAACUGGAGAAGAUCAAGCUUUUACCUCCCCUCCUUCCUGGAGAAAAUCAGAGAGAAGUUUCAAAGGAUAUCCAUAACACAGCCUACAUUUAGGGCCUGGGGAUGUACAAUGGAUUUGUUUUAAAUGAGACACCCCACGUGGAAAAUAAACAAGCGAGAAAAGUUCAUCUGUGGAUAUAACUCCAGUUCCAACAACUGUGGUGACAGUCACACUGUCUGAGUAAAGGUCCCCCAGAGUCAUCUUGAGAGCAAAAUGAUUAUUAAUUGAGGUUUCUGUGAGUUGAAAGAUGGGUUGUUCAUAAAGAAGAGGAACUUUUCUAGACCUCGAGAAACUGAAGACACAGCUCCUGGGUUGUUCUAAAAGGUGAAGUGUCUUUUGAAAAUUGAAUUAAUUAAAAAC